GAACGAGAAAAUCCGGGUGUAGCAAUACAUCUGGGUGAGUAAAGUGGCGAACGGGUGAGUAACACGUAGCUAACCUGCCCCUGAGUGGGGGAUAACCUGGGGAAACUCGGGCUAAUACCGCAUGACAUUCCGACUUCACAAGGAGAUGGAAUCAAAGGCCCGCAAGGGUCACUCGAGGAGGGGGCUGCGGCCGAUUAGCUAGUUGGCGGGGUAAUGGCCCACCAAGGCGAUGAUCGGUAGCCGGCCUGAGAGGGCGCACGGCCACACUGGCACUGAAACACGGGCCAGACUCCUACGGGAGGCAGCAGUGGGGAAUUUUGCACAAUGCCCGAAAGGGUGAUGCAGCAACGCUGCGUGAGGGAUGAAGGCCUUCGGGUCGUAAACCUCUUUCGAUCGGGAAAAAUGGGCGGGUGAUGAAUCCGUUCUGAUGGUACCGGAAGAAGAAGCCCCGGCUAACUACGUGCCAGCAGCCGCGGUAAUACGUAGGGGGCGAGCGUUGUUCGGAAUUACUGGGCGUAAAGGGCGUGUAGGCGGUGCGAUAAGUUGGGCGUGAAAUCCCCGGGCUUAACCCGGGGCGGUCGUUCAAGACUGUCGUGCUAGAGUGCAGGAGAGGGAAGUGGAAUUCCCGGUGUAGCGGUGAAAUGCGUAGAUAUCGGGAGGAACACCUGCGGCGAAGGCGGCUUCCUGGACUGCAACUGACGCUGAGGCGCGAAAGCUAGGGGA
rnacentral:rRNA from 1 species